UGGUGGGUAGUUUGACUGGGGCGGUCUCCUCCUAAAGAGUAACGGAGGAGCACGAAGGUUGGCUAAUCCUGGUCGGACAUCAGGAGGUUAGUGCAAUGGCAUAAGCCAGCUUGACUGCGAGCGUGACGGCGCGAGCAGGUGCGAAAGCAGGUCAUAGUGAUCCGGUGGUUCUGAAUGGAAGGGCCAUCGCUCAACGGAUAAAAGGUACUCCGGGGAUAACAGGCUGAUACCGCCCAAGAGUUCAUAUCGACGGCGGUGUUUGGCACCUCGAUGUCGGCUCAUCACAUCCUGGGGCUGAAGUAGGUCCCAAGGGUAUGGCUGUUCGCCAUUUAAAGUGGUACGCGAGCUGGGUUUAGAACGUCGUGAGACAGUUCGGUCCCUAUCUGCCGUGGGCGCUGGAGAACUGAGGGGGGCUGCUCCUAGUACGAGAGGACCGGAGUGGACGCAUCACUGGUGUUCGGGUUGUCAUGCCAAUGGCACUGCCCGGUAGCUAAAUGCGGAAGAGAUAAGUGCUGAAAGCAUCUAAGCACGAAACUUGCCCCGAGAUGAGUUCUCCCUGACUCCUUGAGAGUCCUGAAGGAACGUUGAAGACGACGACGUUGAUAGGCCGGGUGUGUAAGCGCAGCGAUGCGUUGAGCUAACCGGUACU
rnacentral:rRNA from 1 species